rnacentral:tRNA from 1 species
GGUGGGGUGGCAGAGCGGCCAUGCGUUCGCCUGCAGACUCAAAGAUACAGAUAGCGAAUAUAUAAGGGUUCGAAUCCCUUCCCCACCUC